GAAAGAAACACCUUGUUUUUUUCCCUCUGCCGGAAUGAAGUCAUUGGGCAUUUUCUCCAGGGAGAGAGCUUGCAUAGAACUGCAAUGGCUGAUUCUUCCACUCUUUUCAAAUACUACACAGAAAUGUCAUUGAGGAACUUUCCUAAAGCUUUAUGAGGAAAAAAAAAAUCACACCACUAUGCUUGAGGCAAGAAAUACAUCUUGAUGGUUUCACCCAAAGUGGUUUGACUGUAGGUGAUGUGUGGCUGAGGACUAAGAAAAUCAGCUUGGCUGCACAGUAUCUGCAGAGGACUGAGUGAAGGAGUUGUUUCAGGGGCUGUCUAUAGUCAUCCCAGAAAGAAAGCAAGCCAGUGUGGAAGCUGGAGUUCAGAAAAUUAGCCUGAGAAGCACAUCUAGCAUGAGCAUAUUGUGGAGCAAGGCCAUGCUGCCAGAACCAGAGAAAUUGCAGAUACAGGUGAAGAAAAAAAAGCCAUCUGAGAGCAAGCCACACAGGCAUAGGGUCAGUGCCUUACUUGCUCAGUAACAUCCAAGCGCAGAAGAAGAACUGAACCAGGGGGAAAAAAAUUGUAAGUAUUCAUUAUUUUGUCAAAAGCUGCAUAUUUAUAAAGCUAGUUAAAAGAUAAAUGCUUUUUUGAUCCUUACAAAAUUGAUGCUUACUACUUUUUAAAAUGACAAAUUCCUUAAGAGAGAAAUAGUAAACGAGGUGUUAACUGUCCACAGCUCUCCUAGAGACAGGAUAGGAAAUAUAUGCACUCAGCACAGGAGAAAAUUAAAACAUACUUAUGUAAUGGUAAUGGAAUUUACCAGUUUGCUGGGAAAAAGUGGGUAUUCAUUUGUAAAACUUCCCUCUGUCACACCCAGUGCUUUUUCAAUCCUGCACCAUUUUGAGCAAGGAUGGGCUGAUUGUGGAAAUGCACUCCCAUAAAACCAAAGUUGGUAUGUUCUGUGUCCCUUACAAUUGUGGAGGAGAACAGUUACACACUGGAUUUAGUGUCACACCUGGCUCACUGAUGCCUCACACUCCAUGUCUGCAUUGCCAGAACUCAAAAUGAAGAUACAUCCAAGGGACUGAUCCCAAAAAGCCUGAUGGGGAAACACUUGACUUUGCAUAAUUAUUUUAACAAUAAUAGAUUAAUCUGAGU
rnacentral:lncRNA from 1 species